UAGGGAAUCUUCGGCAAUGGACGGAAGUCUGACCGAGCAACGCCGCGUGAGUGAAGAAGGUUUUCGGAUCGUAAAGCUCUGUUGUUAGAGAAGAACGUUGGCAGGAGUGGAAAAUCUACCAAGUGACGGUAACUAACCAGAAAGGGACGGCUAACUACGUGCCAGCAGCCGCGGUAAUACGUAGGUCCCGAGCGUUGUCCGGAUUUAUUGGGCGUAAAGCGAGCGCAGGCGGUUCUUUAAGUCUGAAGUUAAAGGCAGUGGCUUAACCAUUGUACGCUUUGGAAACUGGAGGACUUGAGUGCAGAAGGGGAGAGUGGAAUUCCAUGUGUAGCGGUGAUAUGCGUAGAUAUAUGGAGGAACACCGGUGGCGAAAGCGGCUCUCUGGUCUGUAACUGACGCAGAGGCUCGAAAGCGUGGGGAGCAAACAGG
rnacentral:rRNA from 1 species